rnacentral:rRNA from 1 species
GACGAACGCUGGCGGCGUGCUUAACACAUGCAAGUCAAGGGGGCCAGCAAUGGGCAACCGGCGAACGGGUGCGUAACACGUGAGCAACCUACCGAACUGUGGGGGAUAGCCGGCCUAACGGCCGAGUAAUACCGCAUACGCUCUCAGAGAGGCAUUUCUUUGAGAGGAAACCUACGGGACAGAUCGAGGGGCUCGCGGCCUAUCAGCUAGUUGGCGAGGUAACGGCACCAAGGCUAAGACGGGUAGCUGGUCUGAGAGGACGACCAGCCACACUGGAACUGAGACACGGUCCAGACACCUACGGGUGGCAGCAGUCGAGAAUUUUUCUACAAUGGGCGAAAGCCUGAUGGAGCGACGCCGCGUGGGGA